rnacentral:piRNA from 1 species
CAGUAAGUGCUAGCUAUUAUCAAUC